AAAGAAAAAAAAACAGAUGUUCCACCAGACAGGAUUAAAUAUAGCCACUGAUUAGCCAGACAUUGUUCUCUGUGUAGGCCUCUAAGAUUAUACCACUUAACGCGGCAUGUCACUUUGCGUCCCCUGAGACAGUUUGGGCCACAAAGCUAGCUAUGAUGAUUACUUUUGUUUUUCAAGCCCAUACAGCGUCCGUACAGACACAUCCACAAUAAGUGGGCAAGACGGCUAAAGGGGUACAUACCCUUUUUAUUAUUUCCUGUGCAUAAAAGGGACCAAUAUCCUAGUCAAAAGAUGCCUCCCGCACCACAGGAUUCGAACAAGACCUUUCGUGGAAUCCCACAGGUUGUAGCUAGUGGUGGAGGCCCCCCAAGGACUGCAACUCGACCGGGAAACAAGUUGGGAUGCAUGGAGGUGGAAAUCCUGAACCCUCAAACGGGAAGGCCCAUGUGCGUCUCUCCACAACUGUUCUUGACGUGAAAAAUACACUUCAUAAAGCACUUAAUGACAGCAACACAGCCAUGAGGCAGAUAAUUCAACAGGAGAGUGCUGAGCAACAAGGACAAGUCUACACGGACAGAUAACAAGGACAAGUCUACACAAACAGAGGGAUAGAUGACCUGAUAUCUUCAUAUACUAGAGAAGCCUAUCAAUCAGAAUGUCAACCAGAUAGGAAGGCUACAUAACACAUUCACAUUGUGUAUUCAUGGGACACACUCUUUUCACGCCACUUCUAUACACCUAUGACCGGAAGUGAUUUGUGGCUGGUUAGGAGAGCAUUUUCGCUAACCCUAACCCUUUUCCUAACUUUAGCCUAGUUCUCCUAACCUGCCACAUUAAUUCUCCUAACCUGCUACGUUAACUCUCCUA
rnacentral:lncRNA from 1 species